CGAGGAGGCGGUUAAAGGCGGCAGGGAGGCUGACAUCUUUUAUCUCGGGGUCUAUGGGUAACCGCUCCGCAGUGCUCCCUCGGGAGAUCUUACCGAGCCCGCCGGGGGCCGUCCGCCCAGGCACUGGGGCACUUCACACUCGUGACUCAAGGUCACCACGGCAGUCGGUCCCUGACUCCCAGCCCGGCAGGAGUUCAGAGGCCAGAAGACACCAGCACAUGGUCUUUCUCCCACUCUGAAGUUUGCUGACAUUCCUUGAUCUUCCUGUGCUGCCUCUGCCAUCAGAUGAGAAGUCACAUGUUUCUGAGCCUUGGCCAGGUGCAUGGAUUGGCCAUUGUGUUUAUUUUUCAUCAACUUUUUCCACGGCAGCAGAUGUGCAACUGUUACUUCAAGCCUUUUCUGGGAGGAUCAAAUGACAGCUUACAGGUACCAGGAGCCAUGGGCAUCACAGAUGAAGCCAACACAGAGGGACAAGACUGGAAAGAAAGUGCAGUGAGCCUGAGAGGUGAGUCCCUGGAUCCAACGUGGCUCCAUGGUACUUUUCAUGUCCAUCCUUCCUUAUGCCAGCUCAAAUUAGUUUCUUCCACCUGCAACAAAAGCAUCUCAUUAUGCUUGUCUGAAUUGGUUGUGACUCUCAUUGUCAAGAAACCAUUGCUGGCUGUAAGUCUCCACAGGUUGGCAAAGCUGCAGAGAGAACAGCCAUGCGGGGGUGAGAAGAGCUGCAGAAAUAAAUAUAUGAAAUUUUUCUGGAAGAUCUGGGGGUCCACACUUCCAGCAGGCAAGAUAUGAGCGGUCAUUCCAAACCCUUUCUUGUGGGGGUGGCACCUAUGCAGUGAAAGAGAGGAAAGGCAACCCGAGCCCCCACGCAGCAUGGUCCGUCCUUGUAGCUGUGACAUGCUGACCAGCACCAGCCUGGAGGCCGCCCAGCAGGAGUAACGUGCCCACUCUGACCAUUUCCCACUGAAGUGUGCAGGCACGCCACCAGUCAACAGCAGCAAACUUAGAAAAAUGUCUGGAGGGAGGAGAUUUGGCUCUCGAUCUCUGGCUUGUGUUCUAGGGCCCAGUGGUCCCAAUUUGUAUGGGUUCCAUCCCUCCUGGGAGCCCCUAAACCAGACAGUGCACACACACACACACACACACACACUCCCCUCAUCUCAACCUACCUCAAACAAUGCGUGUGCAUUUCAGCUGGCGCCUUUGUGCCUUCACUAAGGGGGGAAUUUCAAGCAUCCUGGGAGAUUACGGGGAGGAUGCUUUUGAGUAAGUUAAGUCAACAUGCCAGAAGCACACCUGCCUGUUUUACCAGCUUGAAGUAGCCUUGCCUUUUAUCAGAGGAAUUUUUCACAGAAUGUAUCCUUCCAAGGCGCAUAUAAUGGAGAGUUUCUGUGUUCACCAAAUGCAACCAACCGCUGGAUAUGAGAAACUGGAUUCCAGCAGCUGUCAAAUACCUUAAUCUGUUUGCAGAAUAAAAAUAUUCACGUAAGCACUUCUCCACUCUGACUUCUUUGCAUGAAAUCCUGUCCAGAGCCACUUCAAGCACAGUCCAAAUGCUGCCCCUCCUAGCAAGUUCUACUGAUUUGCCUGUUUAAAAGGAAUACAUAGUGAGUGUAAUACAUUGUGAGUGCUGCUGAAACAUUUAGAAUCACAGCAAAGUGUAAUGGUAACAGUCACAGGCUUUGGAGCCACACAGACCUGUACAUCCUGAUUCCUCCCUUGCCUAGUUGUGUGACCUUUGUCAAGUCCUUUCAUCUCUCUGAGUCUCAGUUUCCUUAUCUGUGCAAUGGGAAUAACAGUAGUAUGUAUCUAGGAGGGUUGUUACAAUAUCCCAGAUUAAAUGAGAGAAUGUACGUGCAACAUUGAACCUAGAACCUGGAACCAAAUAGAUAUGCUCUUAAUAAAUGUUACCCAGCAAUGUUGGUAGCUGUAGCAAUCGUGGCUGUAUGUGAACUUUUCUUCCCCACUAGACUGAAAGUCCUUUGAGGGUGGUGUAUUAGUUA
rnacentral:lncRNA from 1 species